GGCUUUUAGAAUUUAAUUUAAAAUUGACCUGCCCACUGAGUAUAUUAAAUGGCCGCAGUAUUUUGACUGUGCAAAGGUAGCAUAAUCAUUAGUUUYUUAAUUAGAAGCUGGAAUGAACGGUUGAACGAGAAAAUAACUGUCUCUUUAUAAAUUUUUUAGAAUUUUAUUUUUAAGUCAAAAAGCUUAAAUUUAUUUAAAAGACGAGAAGACCCUAUAGAGUUUUAUUAAUUUAUUAUAAAUUAAAUAAUUUGUAUUAUUAAUUGAUUUAUAGUGUAUUAAUUUAGUUGGGGUGAUUGAAAAAUUUAAUAAACUUUUUUUUUAUGAAAACAUUGAUUUAUGAUUAAUUGAUCCAUUAAUAGUGAUUAUAAGAUUAAAUUACCUUAGGGAUAACAGCGUUAUUCUUUUGAAGAGUUCAAAUCGAUAAAAGAGUUUGCGACCUCGAUGUUGGAUUAAAAUUUAUAUUUGGUGUAGAAGCUAAAUUAUUAGGUCUGUUCCACCUUUAAAAUUUUACA
rnacentral:rRNA from 1 species